GUGGGAAGCGCACGGCCGCAAAUCUGACUCGUCACCCGUCGAUUUUCGCGGGUGACUUGGGAUUGCGGAAGUGC
rnacentral:ncRNA from 1 species